rnacentral:rRNA from 1 species
AGCAGCCGCGGUAAUUCCAGCUCCAAUAGCGUAUAUUAAAGUUGUUGCAGUUAAAAAGCUCGUAGUUGAAUUUCGGGAUCAAUUUAUUGGUCGUGCUAUUGUACGUACUGGUAUAAUCGGUUUCUCCUUUCUGACGAACUAUAAUGCCAUUAAUUUGGUGUUUUGGGGAAUCAGGACUGUUACUUUGAAAAAAU